AUUUGCUUCUUAACCUUCUGUCUUCAGUCCAUAGCCCACCAAUCCACUGAAACUAUUCUAGCUAAGGCUACGAUACCCAAGCCUCCUAAUUGGCAGGUCUAAGGGACCCUUUCUGACAUAGGUGAUGUAAUUUACCACCAAUCUCUGUCACUUGUGACUGCUGUUUCCUCCCUGAACGUUUCUUCUCCCUGGUUCUUGUUCACAGCCCCUGAUAUUUCCUCCCAGGCUCUCUCUUCUGCCCACCCAGCAAAUGUUUUUGUUCCUUACAGUUCCCUCCUAAAUGUUCUCUGUUCUCUCACCGUGUUCUUCAUGAGUGAUGUAAUAAAUUCUCAAGGCUCUCAAAUCUGUAGUUCCAAUCUGAUGCUGUUUCCAGAGCUUCAGAUUCACAUUUUUAGUUGCCUUCUGGAUGUCACCUUGAAAUCAUUCAAAACUUCAAAUUCAGUAUUUGCAAACAAAACUGAUCAUCUUCUCUUCUUCCUCCAAGCUUACCCAUUUUUUCUUUUUAUCAAUAUGUUUAUUUAUUUAUUUUUUGAGACAGAGUCUUGCUCCGUUGCCCAGGCUGGAGUGCAGUGGCACGAUCUCGGCUCACUGCAACCUCCGCUUCCUGGGUUCAAGUGAUUCUCCUGCCUCAGCCUCCUCAGUAGCUGGGAUUACAGGUGCCCACCACCGCACCCAGCUAAUUUUUGUAUUUUCAGUAAAGAUGGGGUUUCACAAUGUUGGCCAGGCUGGUCUUGAACUCCUGACCUCAUGAUCCACCUGCCUCGGCCUCCCAAAGUGCUGGGAUUACAGGCGUGAGCCACUGUGCCUGGCUCAUCAGUAUGUUUAGUUGCUCACUUCAGAACUCUCAGAGUCAUCCUUGACUACUAUUUCAUCCAUUCAAUACCAAAUACUUACUUUUUACUUAUCCAGUGACAGGCACUGUACUAGGUGGUAGAGAUGUGGUGGUGAAGAAAAGAGACAGAGUGGAAGAGACAGACAAAAACUUAGCAAAAAAAAUUAUAAUUUCAAACUGUGAUAAGUACCGGUGAAGGAAGCACAGUACUGAGAUAUGAACAAUGGUGGUAGGAAGCAGGUGGGGCACCUGCUUUUGAGAAUGUAGUCAGGUAAGCCUCUUUUAGGAGGUAUCAUUUAAAUUAGGGCCUGAAGAAUGAGGCAUCGGUUAAGGUACAUUGAAGCAAACAAGGACUGUCUGUAAACUGAAGUAAACGAACCUCUCUUUAGGAAAUUCAGAAGAAAGAAAAUUAUCUCGAGGAAGUUGGUCAGAAGAAAAUGGGCAGAUCAUGAAAUGUUAGUUGUCCCCCAAAGUCGGUUCUCCCCUUUUACAGUGCUAAUACAUUGCUACUUGGGCACAUGAAUCCCAGCUAGAGACCACAUUGCCUGAAUUUCCUUACAACCAAGUGUGGUCAAGUUCUCACUAAUGGAAUAUGAAUGAAAGUUGUAUGUGUCCUCUGCAUCACUUGCUUAAAAAGAAAUCGGUUGCCCUCUACUUUGGCCCUCUUGGCCUUUCC
rnacentral:lncRNA from 1 species